UACAGAGGGUGCAAGCGUUAUCCGGAAUGAUUGGGCGUAAAGCGUCUGUAGGUGGCUUUUUAAGUCCGCCGUCAAAUCCCAGGGCUCAACUCUGGACAGGCGGAGGAAACUACCAAGCUGGAGUACGGUAGGGGCAGAGGGAAUUUCCGGUGGAGCGGUGAAAUGCGUAGAUAUCGGCUGGAACGCCAAAGGUGAAAACAGCUCGCUGGGGUUGUGCUGACGCUGAGACACGAAAGCCAGGGGAGCGAACGGG
rnacentral:rRNA from 1 species